rnacentral:pre_miRNA from 13 species
CCGGCUCUCGCCUGGUGGUGUUUCUCACUGGGGCCUCCAAAUGUACUUGAGCGAGUUAGAGAAAAUGCCACACUUUGAGACGAAUUAUGAGUCUAUUUAUUU